rnacentral:rRNA from 1 species
GACCCGAAGCGGAGUGAUCUACCCAUGGCCAGGUUGAAGCGCGGGUAAGACCGUGUGGAGGACCGAACCCACCAGGGUUGAAAACCUGGGGGAUGAGCUGUGGGUAGGGGUGAAAGGCCAAUCAAACUCCGUGAUAGCUGGUUCUCCCCGAAAUGCAUUUAGGUGCAGCGUCACGUGUUUCUUGCCGGAGGUAGAGCUACUGGAUGGCCGAUGGGGCCCUACAAGGUUACUGACGUCAGCCAAACUCCGAAUGCCGGUAAGUGAGAGCGUGGCAGUGAGACUGCGGGGGAUAAGCUCCGUAGUCGAGAGGGAAACAGCCCAGAACACCAGCUAAGGCCCCUAAGCGUGUGCUAAGUGGGAAAGGAUGUGGAGUUGCACAGACAACCAGGAGGUUGGCUUAGAAGCAGCCACCCUUAAGAGUGCGUAAUAGCUCACUGGUCAAGUGAUUCCGCGCCGACAAUGUAGC